GAAAGAAAUCAUAAGGAGGAAAUGGACCGGACUAGUACAAGUAUGAUUUGCUUAUGCCGCCAAGUGUGAAGUUGCACUUGAGAAUAAAUGAUCUCCUCACCUGCUAACACCACACAAGAGCUGAAGAAGGAAAACAAAGAAGGAGAAUCAGAGAAGACUAUCGGGAGGAAUUCAGAACAUCUUCACCUGGAUUUUCAUCGGUAUGUAGAAAUGUACAUGGUCAGAGCUGAAGGGAUAAUCUAACUUUUGACUUUCUCCUAUAUUUUGCAGCUUAUUGAAGGGCACAACUGUCCAUCCCAAGUCUUCCAAGCCCAAAUCCUGGGGUGACUUUUAACUCCUUUUUAAAAUUUUUUAAAAAAGUUUAUUUAUUUUUGAGAAAGGGAGAGAGAGAAUGCAUGAGUGAGGGAGGGGGGAGAGAGAGAGAGAAGGAGGGAGAGAAUCCCAAGCAGGCUCCAUACUGUCAGCAACAGGAGCCCUCUGUGGGCUUAGACCCACGAAUGUGAGAUUGUGAUCUGAGCCAAAAUCAAGAGCCAGACGCUUAACCCGCUAAGCCACCCAGGUGCCCCUUGACUCUUUUCUUAAAAAAAAAAAAAAAAAAUCAUAUUUAAUGAGUCAGCAAAUGCUAACGAUCUUCCCUCCACAAGUUCCUGACAUGUGCUCACGUUUCCCAAAUCUUCCACACUUUCAUCUUACCCUGUUUCAGGUACUCGUCAUCUCUUUCCUGGAACGCUGUGCCCACCUCCCGACUGGCUUUCCUGUUUCCAGUCUUUCCUCCCUCGUAUCUAUUCUCCAUCACCGGUAUGAGUCAUUGAUCUACAACAACAUCUAUCUGACUGUGUCACCACUGUCAGCAGUUCCCAAUGACAUGACUGUGGUAUUCCUCAAACUCAGCGAACCUCAAAGAUGGACCCCUGAGGAAAGCUUCACAUGUGAGAUAAAUGCACUCAGAGACUCCUCACAAGUAGCUCUUUGGAGCUUCAGAUGUGAAAUGGAUCAUUCCUCAAUCUGUAAUAGACCCUUCUGUGAAGCUCUUCAAUCAAACCUGAGAAUUCAAGGCGUUUUGUAG
rnacentral:lncRNA from 1 species